rnacentral:rRNA from 1 species
CGCUGGCGGCGUGCUUAACACAUGCAAGUCGAACGGGGCAAAGUGAUAGCUUGCUAUUAUGGAGCCUAGUGGCAAACGGGUGAGUAACGCGUAGGCAACCUGCCCUUCAGAUGGGGACAACACCUCGAAAGGACUGCUAAUACCGAAUGUUGUGGAACUUCCGCAUGGGAGCUCCACCAAAGAUGACCUCUUCCUGAAAGUUAUCGCUCAAAGAUGGGUCUGCGUCUGAUUAGCUAGUUGGUGGGGCAACGGCCUACCAAGGCGACGAUCAGUAGCCGGUCUGAGAGGAUGAACGGCCACAUUGGAACUGAGACACGGUCCAGACUCCUACGGGAGGCAGCAGUGGGGAAUCUUCCGCAAUGGGCGAAAGCCUGACGGAGCAACGCCGCGUGAGUGAAGAAGGCCUUCGGGUCGUAAAGUUCUGUUAUACGGGACGAAUGGCGUAGCGGUCAAUACCCGUUACGAGUGACGGUACCGUAAGAGAAAGCCACGGCUAACUACGUG